CUGUAACUAAUGUUAAGACCUCUUUUUGCGUCAACAGCAGUUCACCUAGUGAGUGUUGAUGCUUUGGGUCUGAGUGA
rfam:Otolemur garnettii contig082408, whole genome shotgun sequence.